UAUUGUCAUUCCUCUAGGAUCUUUUAUCAGGAGUCCUACAUUCUUGACUCCUGCCAGAUGGGGGCACUCACUGCCUUCUUAUUCCUCGUGUGCUCAGUGGACGUCCCUGAGAAGCGGGCUGACUCGCCACCAGAGGGCUUUGUCACCGCCCUUCAAACGAUCCUCAGGCACACAGACAGACAGACAGACAGAGGGAGUCCUGGAUGAAUGGCAAACCCUUCAGAUUCUAAUUUGUUUCUCAAUCAGUUGCUUCCUCGUGUGAAAUGAGGGGACAGACAGCUGAUCUUUCUGAGCUGCCCAUGGCUGGGACCACUGCCUCCAUUCCCAACACCCUGCUGGGGACCCCGCCUUCCAAAGAACAUGCCCCAGGCACACAGGUGAGCUCCCGCCAUGCACUCCCCGUGAAAGGGAAGCCGUCUGGAGGCAGUGUGGCACCUGAAGACGCUGGAGCUGCUGCUGUCAGGGACACACGCCCUGCCCAUUCAUCUGCCUUCUGCGCCGGGAGCCCCCGCAGAUGCGGAAGAUGCAGGGAAUGAUUCAGCCCCAGCCUUAAACAUCAAAUAGCAAAUGAAUAGCAUCAUAAGAAGUCAAGAGAAAGACCAUGGAAGAAAGAAGAAACUUUAACAGCGCUUUUUUCAUGAUCUUUGAACAAGGAGCUCUAAAUUAUCAUUUUGCACUGGCUCUGUCCCAGCUCAUGUUUGUUGAGUGAAUAAAUAAAUAAAUAAAUGCAUACAUACAUAUUUAUUAGUACAUGGAACACACUGAUUAUCUUCCAUUUCCUAACAACACUGUAUGUAAUCAGGAUUGCAGGCAUGUUAUGAAAUACUAGAAUAGCUGAAUAUUAAAAUUAUUCUGGAAUCA
rnacentral:lncRNA from 1 species